GACGAACGCUGGCGGCGUGCUUAACACAUGCAAGUCGAGCGGUAAGGCCCUUUCGGGGGUACACGAGCGGUGAACGGGUGAGUAACACGUGGGUGACCUGCCCUCAGCUCUGGGAUAAGCCUGGGAAACCGGGUCUAAUACCGGAUAUGACUCCAUGACGCAUGUUGUGGGGUGGAAAGCCUUGUGCGGCUGAGGAUGGGCCCGCGGCCUAUCAGCUUGUUGGUGGGGUGAUGGCCUACCAAGGCGACGACGGGUAGCCGGCCUGAGAGGGCGACCGGCCACACUGGGACUGAGACACGGCCCAGACUCCUACGGGAGGCAGCAGUGGGGAAUCUUGCGCAAUGGGCGAAAGCCUGACGCAGCGACGCCGCGUGAGGGAUGACGGCCU
rnacentral:rRNA from 1 species